rnacentral:rRNA from 1 species
AGUGAACGCUGGCGGUAGGCCUAACACAUGCAAGUCGAACGGCAGCACAGUAAGAGCUUGCUCUUACGGGUGGCGAGUGGCGGACGGGCGAGGAAUACAUCGGAAUCUACUUUUUCGUGGGGGAUAACGUAGGGAAACUUACGCUAAUACCGCAUACGACCUACGGGUGAAAGCAGGGGAUCUUCGGACCUUGCGCGAUUGAAUGAGCCGAUGUCGGAUUAGCUAGUUGGCGGGGUAAAGGCCCACCAAGGCGACGAUCCGUAGCUGGUCUGAGAGGAUGAUCAGCCACACUGGAACUGAGACACGGUCCAGACUCCUACGGGAGGCAGCAGUGGGGAAUAUUGGACAAUGGGCGCAAGCCUGAUCCAGCCAUACCGCGUGGGUGAAGAAGGCCUUCGGGUUGUAAAGCCCUUUUGUUGGGAAAGAAAAGCAGCAGGUUAAUACCCCGCUGUUCCGACGGUACCCAAAGAAUAAGCACCGGCUAACUUCGUG